GUGCCAGCCGCCGCGGUAAUACCGGCAGCCCAAGUGAUGGCCGAUCUUAUUGGGCCUAAAGCGUCCGUAGCUGGCCGCGCAAGUCCAUCGGAAAAUCCACCCGCCCAACGGGUGGGCGUCCGGUAGAAACUGGCCGGCUUGGAACCGGAAGGCUCAGAGAGUACGUCCGGGGUAGGAGUGAAAUCCCGUAAUCCCGGACGGACUACCGAUGGCGAAAGCACUCUGAGAAAACGGAUCCGACAGUGAGGGACGAAAGCUAAGAUCGCGAACCGGAUUAGAAACCCCGGUAGUCC
rnacentral:rRNA from 1 species